CGUAGGGGGCGAGCGUUGUCCGGAUUUAUUGGGCGUAAAGAGCGUGUAGGCGGCCUGGCAGGUCUGCUGUGAAAACUCGAGGCUCAACCUCGAGAUGUCGGCGGAAACCGUCUGGCUAGAGUCCGGAAGAGGAGAGUGGAAUUCCUGGUGUAGCGGUGAAAUGCGCAGAUAUCAGGAAGAACACCUAUGGCGAAGGCAGCUCUCUGGGACGGUACUGACGCUGAGACGCGAAAGCGUGGGGAGCGAACAGGAUUAGAUACCCUGGUAGUCCACGCCGUAAACGAUGGGUGCUAGGUGUGGGCGGUGUCGACUCCGUCCGUGCCGAAGCUAACGCAUUAAGCACCCCGCCUGGGGAGUACGGCCGCAAGGCUA
rnacentral:rRNA from 1 species